UACAGAGGGGGCAAGCGUUGUUCGGAAUUACUGGGCGUAAAGGGCGCGUAGGCGGCCGCCUAAGUCAGACGUGAAAUCCCUCGGCUCAACCGGGGGAACUGCGUCUGAUACUGGGUGGCUUGGAAUUCGGGAGAGGGAUGCGGAAUUCCAGGUGUAGCGGUGAAAUGCGUAGAUAUCUGGAGGAACACCGGUGGCGAAGGCGGGAUCUGGGCCAGUACUGACGCUGAGGAGCGAAAGCGUGGGGAGCGAACAGG
rnacentral:rRNA from 1 species